AGAUGUGUUGGCGAAAAAAGAGAAAAACAAAAAUCUCAAGGUUGUUGAGAGGUUUCGGGGAGAGUGAGGGUAUGCACAGGGCAAUUUAUGUGUUGAAUUGGAGGAGCUUGUUUUAUUGUCUUCCCUUCCUACUUAUAGCAGCCAACCUGUAUUGAAUUCCAAUCACUCUCGGAUUAGAACUCCUUUCCCUGAUCCAACUUUAUCUUGGCCAAUCUUAUUCAUACUAGGACUUUGAACAUAACUCGUUACCAGGCCGUAUUCAAUUCCAGCAUCCUGAUCAUGUCGAAACUCCUUCUCAUAACAGGACUUAUCCACAUCCCCAAUUCUCGAUGGGAUAUGGCCAACUUCGACCGUGCGGCCCAUGAGCUAGAUAACCCCGAACGACACCUGUACAUGACCUCUGGGCCGAGAAGGAUUCUAACCUUAGCCCCACCAACACUAGGCCAAGAACAAUUCUAAACUCAGCCUAAAACAAUAUUUUUAGGCCCAAACAAAUAUACACAGGUUAUCUUUGAAGAAAAUAUAUGUAUCUAAUAUCCAACAUACUUUCAUUUUACUUAUACUCCAUAUCAAAUAUUAUAUGAACAAUAGUGCUCUUGUUCUGUCAUUCAAACCAAAAAAACUCUCUCCCACCUAUCAUAUACUUAUAUUUUUCUCAUCACUUUGCCACUUUCCACUACUAUAAUGAAAUUUUUGUAACACUGGAAUUGUGAUAUAUCAUCAUUUGAAACCAUCCUUAAUAUCAUAUUGCGUAUAACCAUACUAUAAUAAGACUUUCUUAGUUGUUUUCGGUUACCCCCACUAGAAGAAAUUUCUGGCUCCGUCCCUGCUUGUUUGAUAUAUAUUUUUUGUUUGUAUUAUGAUAUUAUUGUAUAACGAGGGGAAGUAGAAGAAAGGAACAAAAUAGAAUAAAUUAGGGAGGAUCGGACAAAACAUGAGAUAGGUGAGAAAGAAAGAAUAGCAGAAUAUAUAAAAUUAAGGGUAAAAGACUGUUUACUACCCUUAUGUUUCGUGGUUUUCAACAUUUAGUGUGACGACCCGUUCCCAAUUUUCCUAUAUAAUUUCUCCCCGAAUAUGUAAUUUGAUGAUUAUGCCCUUAUUGGCAAGUGACGUGGACUUAUCCUUAUUUCUUUCCAUUUUAAUUCUCGCUAUUCCAUUUAAAUUGUACACGCUAGU
rnacentral:lncRNA from 1 species